GGUUGGCGGGUCUGAGGCCCGGAAAUUACCGGACGGCGGCGUUUCGUGUUUUUGGGUGUGGAUUGCAACAAACUGCAGCCAACCCCCUGAUGAGGAGUUGUCGCCUUGGGGGAGGUUGCAGGAUGAAAUUUAUAUAUUGGUCAUAAAUCAAAUUGAUUUUCGUAUUUGGUUACGAGAGCAAAUCGAUGCGAUUGAACAGCAUCCAACUGACGAUGCGACAUUUGGAACUAUUAUGAAAGUGGGAAAAAAGUUGUGCAACUCUCGGCAAUGCGGAAGUUCUUUGGGCCAAGUGCAAUUAACCUAGAAUUCUUAUGCGUCAUUGGGCAGAUUUCUUUCUGCGAAAAC